rnacentral:rRNA from 1 species
UACGUAGGUGACAAGCGUUGUCCGGAAUUACUGGGCGUAAAGAGCUCGUAGGUGGUUUGUCGCGUUGUUCGUGAAAACUCACAGCUUAACUGUGGGCGUGCGGGCGAUACGGGCAGACUGGAGUACUGCAGGGGAGACUGGAAUUCCUGGUGUAGCGGUGGAAUGCGCAGAUAUCAGGAGGAACACCGGUGGCGAAGGCGGGUCUCUGGGCAGUAACUGACGCUGAGGAGCGAAAGCGUGGGGAGCGAACAGG